rnacentral:rRNA from 1 species
UACAGAGGUCUCAAGCGUUGUUCGGAUUCAUUGGGCGUAAAGGGCGCGUAGGCUGCGGGGCAAGUCGGGUGUGAAAUCUCAGAGCUCAACUCUGAAACUGCACUCGAUACUGCUUUGCUCGAGGACUGGAGAGGAGAUUGGAAUUCACGGUGUAGCAGUGAAAUGCGUAGAUAUCGUGAGGAAGACCAGUGGCGAAGGCGGAUCUCUGGACAGUUCCGUGACGCUGAGGCGCGAAGGCCAGGGGAGCAAACGGG